rnacentral:rRNA from 1 species
AUUGAACGCUGGCGGCAGGCCUAACACAUGCAAGUCGAGCGGAUGAAGGGAGCUUGCUCCUGGAUUCAGCGGCGGACGGGUGAGUAAUGCCUAGGAAUCUGCCUGGUAGUGGGGGAUAACGUCCGGAAACGGGCGCUAAUACCGCAUACGUCCUGAGGGAGAAAGUGGGGGAUCUUCGGACCUCACGCUAUCAGAUGAGCCUAGGUCGGAUUAGCUAGUUGGUGGGGUAAAGGCCUACCAAGGCGACGAUCCGUAACUGGUCUGAGAGGAUGAUCAGUCACACUGGAACUGAGACACGGUCCAGACUCCUACGGGAGGCAGCAGUGGGGAAUAUUGGACAAUGGGCGAAAGCCUGAUCCAGCCAUGCCGCGUGUGUGAAGAAGGUCUUCGGAUUGUAAAGCACUUUAAGUUGGGAGGAAGGGCAGUAAGUUAAUACCUUGCUGUUUUGACGUUAUCAACAGAAUAAGCACCGGCUAACUUCGU